CGUUCUGCCCCGGCUCUGCGGACUGCGGCGGUCAUGUCGGCGCUGAGGCGGCUGGGCCCUUUCCUUCGCGAGGGAGGCCGGCGCUUCCUGGAGGGUCCGAGCGAGCGGACUGCUGAUUGCGGCAUCGGAGCAGUCCGGUAUGCUGGAAGUGGUGUACACAUUCAGCCCCGAUACCGGCAGUAUCCCCAGCUGACAAAAUCUCAGGUGUUCCAGGCUGAGCUGUUAAGUGCUACAAUGUGGUUUUGGAUUCUUUGGCGUUUUUGGCAUGAUUCAGAUGCUGUACUGGGUCAUUUUCCAUAUCCAGAUCCUUCUCAGUGGACAGAUGAAGAAUUGGGUAUUCCCCCUGAUGAUGAAGACUAAAGCAAUGUCAUCACUACUACAAAAGAGCCUUCCCUUGGAACAAGUCAGUCAGAGUCCAGCAAAGCCAAGGGGCCAGCUGUGAUCUUCGGGAGAAUUUAUUUUGUUGGUACAGAUGUGAUGAUGCUAAUUAAAGUUAAAUUCACAUGAAUGACAGUCUGCCUUUUUCCUUUGAUGAUGGGUGAGCUUUGUGCAUAGUUAGCAAGCCUUGGGCCAACUGGAGUCAUAGCUUAGAGUGGGAAAAAUCUAUUUCACCUAUUACAAGCAUAUCAGUGUUACUACACAUUCAAUGUUUUAGUGUUGCUGUAGGAAUAAUCUCAAGUCUUUUA